AUGGCCUGGUCCCCUCUGCUCCUCAUGCUCCUCUCUCAUUGCACAGGAUCCUGGGCCCAGUCUGUGCUGACUCAGCCACAAUCAGUGUCUGGGAACCUGGGCCAGAGGGUCUCCCUCUCCUGCACUGGAAGCAGCUCCAACAUUGGGACUUACAGUGUGGCCUGGCUCCAACAGCUCCCAGGAACAGCCCCCAAACUCCUGAUACAUGGUACCAGCAAUCGACCUGCGGGGAUCCCUGAUCGAUUCUCUGGCUCCAAGUCUGGCAGCUCAGCCACCCUGACCAUGGCUGGUCUCCAGCCUGACGACGAGGCUGAUUAUUACUGCCAGAGCUAUGACUACAGUCUCAGUGGCCCCCCCUUGCUCCAGCGCAUCCACGUCCUGAUUCCCAAGGCCAUUCAUGCAAGAUGCUGCUGCUCUAUCAACGAGGGCAUGGAGCUAGAGGCACACCAGCAAGCAGUGGGCCAGGAUCUGGAGAUGCUCACAGAAUCGAGGUCCCUAUUAGCAAGACAAACCCACGGGAUUGAAGAAGGCUUGGCAACAUGGGCAUCCCCCCAUCAGCCUUGGACUUUGUGA